AUAUCUAGGUCAAGUUCGAAACUGGGUCCCGUGCGGUCAAAAACUAGGUCUGGAGGUCAUAUUUUUCAUGGGAUCUGCAUGAUAAUUGGUCAGAAUGUUCAUCUUGAUGAUAUCUAGGUCAAGUUCGAAACUGGGUCACGUCCGGUCCAAAACUAGGUCAGUAGGUCAAAUAAUAGAAAAACCUUGUGACCUCUGUAGAGGCCGUAUUUUUCAUUGGAUCUGCAUGAAAAUUGAUCAGAAUGUUCAUCUUGAUGAUAUCUAGGUCAAGUUGUAAACUGGGUCGCAUGCGGUCAAAAACUAGGUCAGUAGGUCAGAUAAUAGAAAAACCUUGUGAC